AUGCAGCUCUUUGAGGCAUUCUAUGAGAACAGGCUAGAUGUGGCGCGUCUUAACUAUGGUAUUAUCACACUAAUACCUAAAAUGAGUGGGGCAAGAAAGAUUCAGCAGUAUCAUCCCAUUUGCUUGCUCAGAUGCCCAUACAAGUUAAUCACAAAGGUGUUGGACAACAGAGUAGCGUUAUUUGCUGACAAGUUGAUUAGCAAGCACCAAAAUGCCUUUAUCAAAUGCAGAAAUAUAAUGGAUGGAAUCCUGACCCUCCAUGAAGUUUUGCACCAUACUCAUCUUAAGAAAAAAGUGGGAAUAGUGCUUAAGCUGGACUUUGAAAAAGCCUACGAUAAGAUAAACUGGGACUUCCUCCUCGAGUGCCACAAAAACAGGGGUUUUUGCCCCACCUGGUGCGGUUGGGUGGAGAAAAUUUUGCACAAUGGCACGCUGAGUAUAAAGCUGAAUAAUGAAAUGGGACCCUACUUUCAGAGCCACAAAGGGGUUCGUCAAGGCGACCCACACUCUCCUUUUUUAUUCAAUCUUGCGGUAGAAACCCUGUCUAAGAUGGUGACCAAUGCGCAGAAAGAAAAGUUAUUGACUGGCCUGGCACCGGAUUUAAUCGAGGGGGGUGUGGCAAUCCUACAAUAUGCAGACAAUACGGUGAUUUGUUUUGAACAUGACAGAGAGGCAGCCAUUAACCUGAAACUACUGUUGUAUGUUUUUGAGCUUAUGUCAGGCCUCAAGAUAAACUUCAUGAAAAGUGAGAUCUUGUGUGGGGGGGGGAGGCAAUGA
rnacentral:rRNA from 1 species